GCGCGCCGCCGACUCACCGAGCGACGCCUGCACCGCUUCGGCCGCAGAGAAAGCGAGCAGCGAGCCCUCCUUGGCCAAGAAGGCUUUGCCGUCUUCCGCAUCCGCUUGGAGCGCCUCGGCUUUGUCGAAGUUGCCGCCUCCGGGCAGUGGCUGUGGAGCGAACUUGCGGGCAGCCGCCGCCUCUUGGUGCUGGGGCGACGCAGAGAAGCCGCCGGGCAGAGUGGCCAUGAGCGUGGAGGCACUAAUUAAGCACGUUGGCAACGGAGGGAGCUCUCACCCUGGCUCUGCGCAGCGCGAGGACUCCUGGGCACGCGGUUCCCCUUUGCGGACUGCUGGAUGGAGCUGAGUCCCUCAAGAUAUUUCCCCUGUUCUCGACAAUGGUCCCCCGGGGACGUCUCAAUCCUAGAGAUCUUCUCGGGCCAAGAAUCUUGCCAGAGAGCAACUGCCCACCCAGAGAGAAUAACCGCUUCCUUGAUUUACGCAACCGCAGCCAGGGACCUUCGUGCUUGCCUGCAAGAGGACUGGAAAAUGACUGUUUGCAUCGUAAAAGGAUCCUUAUGUUUUGACGUGAUUGACAAGAUCCAUUCCGGGACACUUCAGUUACGUGCAAAAAAAAAAAAAACCACCAAAAAACCAAACCAAAACAAAAACAAAAACCCGCUGCGCGCCUGGGGGCUGCGGACGGACGACAGAAGCUUUCGGAGUCCCGACUGCGCUGAAGAGAUUAAUGCACUAGGAACGACAGGUACGCGCAUCUGUCCUUCGAAUUCCUACCUGCCUAGCUCCGAACAGUCUCAACCGCAGAGUCAACUCGGCCCCGCUGCGCGGGAAAACCACCCUGCUCAGAUCUUAGUAACUAGGCUCAGAGAGCCCCGCCCCCCUCCAAUUAGGAAAAAGGUUGGGCGCGCGGGAAGGGAGAGCUGGGUUCCCCCAACUCCAGUUAACUUCUGCGAACUUUUUCUCUGGAAGCAUCCUUCACAGAUGAAGAUAGUCCAGUCCCGGAGGUAUUUUACUGCUGCCAAGAGAGUGUCAGUAUCGUAUUAAGCCACUUACAGAGUGGCUGAGACGUUCAAUAAAAGUGAUGGUAAUUAAGUU
rnacentral:lncRNA from 1 species